rnacentral:rRNA from 1 species
ACGGGUGAGUAACACGUGAGUAACCUGCCCUUGACUCUGGGAUAAGCCUGGGAAACUGGGUCUAAUACCGGAUAUGACUCCUCAUCGCAUGGUGGGGGGUGGAAAGCUUUUGUGGUUUUGGAUGGACUCGCGGUCUAUCAGCUUGUUGGUGGGGUAAUGGCCUACCAAGGCGACGACGGGUAGCCGGCCUGAGAGGGUGACCGGCCACACUGGGACUGAGACACGGCCCAGACUCCUACGGGAGGCAGCAGUGGGGAAUAUUGCACAAUGGGCGCAAGCCUGAUGCAGCGACGCCGCGUGAGGGAUGACGGCCUUCGGGUUGUAAACCUCUUUCAGUAGGGAAGAAGCGAAAGUGACGGUACCUGCAGAAGAAGCGCCGGCUAACUACGUGCCAGCAGCCGCGGUAAUACGUAGGGCGCAAGCGUUAUCCGGAAUUAUUGGGCGUAAAGAGCUCGUAGGCGGUUUGUCGCGUCUGCUGUGAAAGACCGGGGCUCAACUCCGGUUCUGCAGUGGGUACGGGCAGACUAGAGUGCAGUAGGGGAGACUGGAAUUCCUGGUGUAGCGGUGAAAUGCGCAGA